UUAUUUGAGAGUUUGAUCCUGGCUCAGGAUGAACGCUGGCGGCGUGCCUAACACAUGCAAGUUGAGCGAUUUACUUCGGUAAAGAGCGGCGGACGGGUGAGUAACGCGUGGGUAACCUACCCUGUACACACGGAUAACAUACCGAAAGGUAUGCUAAUACGGGAUAAUAUAUUUGAGAGGCAUCUCUUAAAUAUCAAAGGUGAGCCAGUACAGGAUGGACCCGCGUCUGAUUAGCUAGUUGGUAAGGUAACGGCUUACCAAGGCGACGAUCAGUAGCCGACCUGAGAGGGUGAUCGGCCACAUUGGAACUGAGACACGGUCCAAACUCCUACGGGAGGCAGCAGUGGGGAAUAUUGCACAAUGGGCGAAAGCCUGAUGCAGCAACGCCGCGUGAGUGAUGAAGGCCUUCGGGUCGUAA
rnacentral:rRNA from 1 species